AAUCAACCACUAGGAGGAGUUAAUGAGAACUCAUUUGCAUGACUAACCCCUCUUCUAUAGUGAGGUCCCUGGAGAUGAGAUACUGAGACAGCCCAGACAGAAGAUCCUGGUGUAAGGAGAAGCUGUGCUGUGCCUACCAUGGCUUGGACUCCUCUCAUCUUCAUAAUUCUAUCUUUCUGUACAGGUUCCUUUUCUCAGUCUAUACUGACACAACCACCCUCCAUCUCUGAGGCUCUUGGAUCAACAGCCAGACUCACCUGCACCCUGAGGAGUGGCAUCAGUGUUGCUGGUAAAUACAUUUUCUGGUACAAGCAGAUGCAGGGGAGCUCUCCCCAGUUUUUUCUGUACUACUACUCAGACUCAGACAAGAAGCUGGGGCCUGGAGUCACCAAUAGAGUCUCUGGAUCCAAAGAUACCUCCCAAAAUGCUGCACAUUUGCACAUCUCUGAGCUACAAGCAGAUGAGGAGGCUGACUAUUACUGUGCCAUCUGGAAAAGUAAUGUGUCUCACAGUGAUACAGGCAGAUGGGAAAGUAAGGCAUAAAUUCUAGCUUGUGAUAAAAAAAAAUCAGGACUAUUUCUUCGUUACCUUGCAAUAUUUGUACACUAUUAAAGAAAAAGAUAAUGAAAAAGUU